CCUACGGGUGGCACCAGUGGGGAAUAUUGCACAAUGGGCGCAAGCCUGAUGCAGCCAUGCCGCGUGUAUGAAGUAGGCCUUCGGGUUGUAAAGUACUUUCAGCGGGGAGGAAGGCGAUAAGGUUAAUAACCUUGUCGAUUGACGUUACCCGCAGAAGAAGCACCGGCUAACUCCGUGCCAGCAGCCGCGGUAAUACGGAGGGUGCAAGCGUUAAUCGGAAUUACUGGGCGUAAAGCGCACGCAGGCGGUCUGUCAAGUCGGAUGUGAAAUCCCCGGGCUCAACCUGGGAACUGCAUUCGAAACUGGCAGGCUAGAGUCUUGUAGAGGGGGGGUAGAAUUCCAUGUGUAGCGGUGAAAUGCGUAGAGAUGUGGAGGAAUACCGGUGGCGAAGGCGGCCCCCUGGACAAAGACUGACGCUCAGGUGCGAAAGCGUGGGGAGCAAACAGGAUUAGAUACCCCAGUAGUC
rnacentral:rRNA from 1 species